UCAGACGGCCGGGCGGUCGCGGCUCUCCAGGGCAACCUGGCGGGUCGAGGAAAGUCCGGGCUCCACGACGACAUGGCGGUGGGUAACGCCCACCGGGGGUGACCCUAGGGAUAGCGCCACAGAGAGCAGACCGCCCGGCUCCGCCCCUCGGGACGAAGUCGGGUAAGGGUGAAAGGGUGCGGUAAGAGCGCACCGGGCCGCUGGUGACAGGGGCCGCAUGGCAAGCCCCGCCAGGAGCAAGACCGAAUAGGGAUCCCGCGCCCCGCAAGGGACAAGGCCGUCGCCGGCCCAGGGAUCCGGGUAGGUCGCGAGAACCGGUCGGCAACGAUCGGUCCAGAGGAAUGGCCGCCGCGUCUCCGCAAGGAGGCGGCACAGAACCCGGCUUACAGGCCGUCUGAUCCG
rnacentral:RNase_P_RNA from 1 species